rnacentral:rRNA from 1 species
UACGUAGGGUCCGAGCGUUGCCCGGAAUUACUGGGCGUAAAGAGCUCGUAGGUGGUUUGUCGCGUUGUUCGUGAAAACUCACAGCUCAACUGUGGGCGUGCGGGCGAUACGGGCAGACUGGAGUACUGCAGGGGAGACUGGAAUUCCUGGUGUAGCGGUGGAAUGCGCAGAUAUCAGGAGGAACACCGGUGGCGAAGGCGGGUCUCUGGGCAGUAACUGACGCUGAGGAGCGAAAGCGUGGGGAGCGAACAGG